UCUAGCAGGACUCUCAGGACUCAG
rnacentral:piRNA from 1 species